CGCGUCUGCAGUGUGUGGGGUUCGCGGGGCGGCGGGUAGAGGCGAGUGUUUAGAGACUUCGGGUCCCUGACUCGCCUCCAGCAGUGGAGACAGGUCAUCGGUCUGAUCUGCAUUACCGUUGGAAAACAGCAGCCUCAGAACCACAGUAGCCAUGAAGACCAUCAGCCUUCAACCACCACCCUUGUAUCAGAGGAGACAAAUAAGCUUGGAAAUCCUCAAAAAGCCUCAUCCUCAGAGCAAUGUCAUUAUAUAUCUUGUCUUACAGCUCCA
rnacentral:lncRNA from 1 species